rnacentral:rRNA from 1 species
GAUGAACGCUGGCGGCGUGCUUAACACAUGCAAGUCGAACGAUGAAGCCCAGCUUGCUGGGUGGAUUAGUGGCGAACGGGUGAGUAACACGUGAGUAACCUGCCCUUAACUCUGGGAUAAGCCUGGGAAACUGGGUCUAAUACCGGAUAGGAGCGCCUACCGCAUGGUGGGUGUUGGAAAGAUUUAUCGGUUUUGGAUGGACUCGCGGCCUAUCAGCUUGUUGGUGAGGUAAUGGCUCACCAAGGCGACGACGGGUAGCCGGCCUGAGAGGGUGACCGGCCACACUGGGACUGAGACACGGCACAGACUCCUACGGGAGGCAGCAGUGGGGAAUAUUGCACAAUGGGAGAAAGCCUGAUGCAGCGACGCCGCGUGGGGGAUGACGGCAUUCGGGUUGUAAACCACUUUCAGUAGGGAAGAAGCGAAAGUGACGGUACCUGCAGAAGAAGCACCGGCUAACUACGUG